UUCUCCUUUCCAUAUUCUUUUGUUUUUCAUCAUUUUCAAUUCCUCUUUCACAUCAUAGUCGUUCUCAAUAAUUCUUACAAAAUUAUGAAAAUUCUGAGGUUAUCUCAAAAUUCACAAUCACAAUCUAUGUUUACCCUAAAUUUCCUUUAUUUUUUUAGUUUUGUAUUCUUUUCUCCAUUCUCCAUCAUCAAAUCCAUUUCAUUAUCUGCAACCUCCAUCAAUGAACGACUAUGACCAACAAAAAAAGUAACAUCAUCGAUUUCUCCUUUUCGAGACGAAGAAGAAGGAGAUCCUUACUCUCUGCUACCGAACUCCCUCUUCCCUUAAUCUUCCUCUUUUUCUGGUUCCAUGCUCUUCUCUCUUGUCUUACUUACGGUUUCUGGUUUCGUUGUUUUUUUUUGGUAAAAGGUUUCUUUGGUUUUGAAUCAUAAAGGCCAAUGGUACAUGUGAUUCGUUGAUUCUAGCUUAGGUUUUAGAUUGUAAAUCUUUAAACUUUUUUUUUGUUAUGGGUUCUAGAUUUUAUGAUUUUAUCCUUCAAUUUAAAUUUAUUUUUGUUAGAUCUGUUGAAUUUAUUGCCUUGUUUUUGAAUUGAAAAAUGUUUGGAUGUCAUUUGCGUAGAUGGAAAGUGAUUGGACGCAUAAGGCUGGGUAUGUGGUGGUUAUGCAAGAAGAUUGGUUGAUGUUUAUGAGCUUUUUUUGAAACUUUGGUCCAUGAGGCUGCGGUGGCCGCCGUGAGCUCCAGUGUCUUGUCUGGCAACUCCAUACUUAUGUCGACUCAUGGAUGUCAAGAAAAGUUUACGAGAAAACACAAAAUAUAUAUCCAUUUGUUCGGCGCUAGGUGGAUACACCUUCAUUUGUUGCACUAUAUCCAUUUGGUCGAUGUUUCAUGGAUACAACUCUACUUCUAAAAAUCAUAGAUGAACACGUACUUGCCGAUUGUCAGCUAUAGGAAUCCGUCCAUUACUCUUCGAAGAUAUGUUAUCCAACUAAUGAAGUAUUCUUUUAUUUGAUUUUGGUGAACAAUGUUUAGAUUUGGUG